rnacentral:rRNA from 1 species
UACGUAGGAGGCAAGCGUUGUCCGGAGUUACUGGGCGUAAAGCGCACGCAGGCGGUCCUAUUAGUCUGGGGUGACAGUUCCCGGCUUAACCGGAAAAGGACUCUGGAAACUGUAGGACUUGAGGGCUUCAGAGGGAUGUGGAAUUCCAGGUGGAGUGGUGAAAUGCGUAGAGACCUGGAAGAACACCAAAGGCGAAGGCAGCAUCCUGGGAAGUUCCUGACGCUCGGGUGCGAAAGCCAGGGGAGCGAACGGG